CUGAAAUCCACCCGAGGAACGGUAGGGAACAGGAGAGCAGGUUCUCUUAAAACCUGGAAACACAGGUGCCUCCCCAGUGCAGACCUCCGCUUCAAGGCUGCACACCUGUGAGGCACACAGCAGUCCACUCAGGGUCCCCCUGUUCUGGGGCAGCCUUUGGCCCUGUCUGGUUUUCCACCCUUGGGCAGUCAUUCAAGCAGUGCCCACGCUUUCCCUCAGACUAGACGGACACAGCACAGAAUGUGUGCAUUUCACUCGAUUCUCUUAUUGUUCAGUUCCUCCUGUUUGGGAGCAGGCGUCUGAUCACGUAUUUGGGCACCUGAUUUAAAGAACAAAGGCAACGCUGAAAUCCAAUGUGUCUGGCUAACUCCAGGCCCUGUCCCACAGCCCCUCGGGCCACACUGUGCCGAUGCUGCAGCCACAGUCUCCGUGUGAGUUUCCAAAAACAGUUCAUAAGCAUUGAGCAGUGUGCCUGUGGCUUUGUCCCUGUGCACAAUUGGCCAUUUGAAGCAAAAUGAUGUAAUUGGUAGACUCUGGGGUGGGGCCCCAGCCUGCUCAGAGAGGCCUGGAGUCUAAAGGAGCUGGAAAAUUGGCAGGAAGGAAUGUGAUAUCCUGGAAGACCUCACAGCUCCAUCUGGAUUGGGAAUGUGAACACUGAGCUACCCCCGGGAGCAGAAGGGGACAAAGGAAUGCCUACCUGUGGUACUGGGCUACUGGGCAGGGCUCCAGUGGGCCUCACUGGGCCCAGCACCAGGGUGGGUAGGGGUGGCAUGCUGUCAGGAGUGACCUGCCUGGUCCCAGGUGGCCCUGUCAACCCACGCCCCUGGGGCAGAUGGGCACCGAGGGCACACAUGCUCAGAGCAUGCGCCGUGGGCUGGGGCAGUGGGGGCACCCACACUUCCCUGCUCACCAGCUGGAAGCAGCUACAGGGACUAGGUUUUGACCUCACUGCCGAAGUCCUCCCCACCUCUGCUCUGCUGGGACACAGGCAGUGUCAACACAUCCCCGGUUCAAGUACAGCCAUGCAAUCAAUCUUAUACAAAAGUAGCAGGACAUGACUCCACGGAUUGUCCGCAUCCAGGCCAGUACAAAUGAAAACUGCACAGCUUCCAUCCUCUGGCAAGCCCGGGACAAGUACACAGAAGCGCUCCACUUUGCAACACUAAGCCAAGUGGCUUAGGACAAGGCUGCCUUUGCAGAAGCAGUCCAGGCGCUGGGCCACAGGCCGGUUCCUCAGUGGGUGCCGCAGGGAUGGAGUCCCAGCCAUGUCCAGCGUCUCUGGAGCCCUGGCGAGCUGAAGGUGCGCCUGAUGGCUCUCCUGCUGCGCUAGGCCAGCCCAGGCUUGGCCAGCUCUUGCACUGGGCCCCCAGGCCAGGCCAGAGGUGUGGCUUUGUUUCUGUCUGCAGCCAGGACCAGCUGUGGCCCAGAGGCCAUGUCUCCCCUUGAAACCUCCUGUGGCUUUGGCACUGUCAGACAGGCUGACCAGCCCUGGUCCCCAGAAGGGCCAAAAUCUGUCUGGGUGAUCCCCUGUGGAGCUGCACCUGCGGCCCCCGGGCUCUGUGGUCCAAGGGCCCUGCCCCAGCAGCCUGUGUAGGUGACAGGUGGUCUCACGGUUUCCUGAUGUCGGAGCCCUCGGCCUGGGCACUCCCCACGCACACGUUCAUGGCCACCCCAUUGAGGUGCUCUCGGGCCCGCUCCCUGCCGGGGUUCUUGAUGGUGAUGACACAGUCGGGGCAUGGACGCCAUCGCCAGAGCCCAGGGAGGAGGUGCGCGAGGACGCUGGGCUCUGCUUGCAGUCGGCCAGCUUUCCC
ensembl:lncRNA